ACUCCUACGGGAGGCAGCAGUGGGGAAUAUUGCACACUGGGCGCAAGCCUGAUGCAGCCAUGCCGCGUGUAUGAAGAAGGCCUUCGGGUUGUAAAGUACUUUCAGCGGGGAGGAAGGCGAUAAGGUUAAUAACCUUGUUGAUUGACGUUACCCGCAGAAGAAGCACCGGCUAACUCCGUGCCAGCAGCCGCGGUAAUACGGAGGGUGCAAGCGUUAAUCGGAAUUACUGGGCGUAAAGCGCACGCAGGCGGUCUGUCAAGUCGGAUGUGAAAUCCCCGGGCUCAACCUGGGAACUGCAUUCGAAACUGGCAGGCUAGAGUCUUGUAGAGGGGGGUAGAAUUCCAGGUGUAGCGGUGAAAUGCGUAGAGAUCUGGAGGAAUACCGGUGGCGAAGGCGGCCCCCUGGACAAAGACUGACGCUCAGGUGCGAAAGCGUGGGGAGCAAACAGGAUUAGAAACCCGUGUAGUCCCA
rnacentral:rRNA from 1 species